rnacentral:lncRNA from 1 species
UGAAUCUCUACUUACAUAGACUAUUUCUGUCAUCACCUUCUUGUUCUUACCUUUUUAAAUCAAUUGGCGCUGCAAUCAUCAUGAACACACCCAAGUCGGUUCUACUAGAUAUGAUAUCAAGAUAUUCUAAUGUGUGUGGAACUGACCGAGAUAUUUUAAUAAUGUCAGCAUUAAAUUAUUAAAAAGGCUGCAGAAUGAGAAGAAGGAAUCGGUGACAGAGGUGGUCUGUGUUGUUCAGUGAAGGAAAGUACGGGAAAAAGGGAGACCUGACCAGUUUUUAACAAUCUUCGUGGCUGGUGAAGUGGCGAUUCCUAAGUUUACGAGGUUUCCCGCAGACUUGAAUGCAUCCCCGGUAUGAGAGAGACGGGGAGCUUGGAGCAGCCGCUCACUCAGGGGAGUGCAGCGAGAUGAGACGGAUCAUGAGACGGAUCCUGCAGUUUGCAAUGAUUUUCGGGAUGAUUCUCCGUGUUAAUGGAAAAUCUGUGAGAGGGAUUAUGAGAGAUCCGGUUCAGUUCCCUGUAAACUGUCCGAUUAACUGGACAGCCGAGCUGUACCGGGAGGACGGGACUGGGAACCCGCCGCUUGUGGCUGCGCGUCGGAACGGAGUUUGCACAUCUGGUGAUGGAUUCACCGACCGGCUGGAUCUAAAGUCCUGCUUCAGCUUCCGUCGCUCACUGUACACAGAUGCCGGUCUGUAUGAAUUCAGAUGCGGGGGCGGCAGUGACCGCGUGCAGCUGGAUGUGGUUGUGGCUUCUGAAUUAUCAGUCAGUGAGGGAGAACAGGUGACGCUCAGGUGCUACUAUAAGACUGCAGGAGGACAGGUGGAGGCUCUGAGGUGGGACAAGAACGGAGUUAUUGUGCUGGAGGUGGAUCUGUCCACCGGAGAGAUUACAAACGGAACCGGGUUUGAGGGAAAGAGACUUUCACCGGCUGGUGCCGCAGAAGGAGACUUUUCUCUGACGUGGGAUCAGGCUCAGGUCCAGGAUGAGGGCGAUUACUUCUGCUCCGCCCGCAGUAAAGACUUCAGGAUGGGGUGGGGGGACCCUGCUGCUGCGAGGCUGAAGGUCAUCAAGAAACACCUGGACCCGACGACCCCCCGCCCACCUCUGAAUGGAACCACUGGAGAAAGGAUGGAGACUUGGACCACUGUCAUCAUUACAGCAGCUGUGACGUCUGUGCUUUGGGCUCUUUGCUGCUCUUUAGUUUGGAGGCUGAAGUUCCGCACACCAGAUGUGUCACCUGGACCUGAUGGUGGAGAACUGGACCUGGGACUUCUGACCAAUGGGAAUCCUGCUGGGCCUCAAACCAACGGGGGUUCUCGCAUCUAGAAUUUGACUCAAAAAAUCAAAAAUCAAGUUCAAUCAACAGCCAACACUUAAAUCCAUCAAGUAAAGACUGCAUUUUGAUGCAUGUUCAUCAAAUUAGACACUUCCUUCAGAAACAAUAUCCCAGUUUUCAAAUUUGUCUCAGAAAACAGACCUCAUCUAUCUACGACUCCACAGACUCUGUCAGCACAGUUUUCCCCAUCAGACUAAAGAACCAUCGGGGAGGAUUGGCUCGAUCAAGCAUGGGGCAACAUGCUUGAUGGAGUCUCUUCUUCGGUACUCCACAGUUCACGAUGUCCGUAAUUGAUGUGGCCAGGCCCCUGUAAACCUUGUACAUGUGUAGACUAUCUGACACAUUCCAAAGAGAUUAUGAUGUGAUAACAACUCCAAGUCUGUCAUUUUGGUAUCCUAGCCCACAACUGUUUUGUCUCUUAUUUCUUUGACGUUGUUUUAAUGUAUCUUGACAUGUAUCCUCUCCAUUCGCUCGACGCACUCGAACCCCCUUCCUGUUCCCUCACGCAAAGCACUCGAACCCCCUUCCUGUUCCCUCACGCAAAGCACUCGAACCCCCUUCCUGUUCCCUCACGCAAAGCACUCGAACCCCCUUCCUGUUCCCCCACGCAAAGCACUCGUACCCCCUUCCCGACCAUUCGCACAAAGCUCUCUAACCUCCUUUCCCGUUCCCUCAGACAAAGCGCUUGUACCCCUUUUUCCGCUCCCUCGCGCAUAGAACUUGUACCCCCUUCCUGUCCAUUCGCACAAAGCUCUCCAACCCCCUUUUACGUCCGUUCACACAACGCCCUCAAACCUCCUUUCCCGUUCCCUCACACAAAGCGCUCGUACCCCCUCCCGUUCCCUGGUGCAAAGCACUCGUACCCCCUUUUCCGUACAUUUGCGCAAUGUCCUCGCACCCCCUUUUCCGCCUGUUUGCGCAAUGCCCUUGAACCGUCAGGCAUCCGUCAACAUCGUAAAAAUAACCAGCUCCAUUGAUUGCGUCCAUACGAUCCUUCAAAUCAGAUCAUCCACCAUCCAAGUAUAAUCCUCCAGGCAUUUUUCGGCCUCCUGCAAUGCCAGGAAUUCACUUCCACAGCAUCCAGUCUCGACCCCUCUCAACACGCUACCCUCUCGGACACUCCAUCCACUCGCAAGACAUCCUCUGAUUGAGCCCCAAACUGAACAAGAUCGACCGGUUUGGCCUCUCUCAUCCCAUAUACCUCUUCCGACUGAACUUGUACCUAAGCCCUAACAAAACCUAUCCUGCCAUACUUACACUGGAGACAUGUCCUCGUUGCGGUCCUUCCAAACCUACAAACAGCUACACCCACAGCCACAUCUUCGUGUAAUCAAGUAAUACUUUUGAGGUAUGAUGAAGCCACGCAGACCAAGAGUGCCCCCUUCAAGACGUACCCCCAUUCUGAGUCUCAACCUCUCUGGUUCCUAGGUGGUCUAGCCAAUUUGCACCCCACUCAAACCCCCUCUUCAUCCACCGACCUCGACCCCUCCUUUUCUUAAUCCACCUACCUCGACCCCCCUUUCGUAUCCUUUCCAAAAUCUUCUACCAAUUUAAAUAAACUACCUUAAUGUUAAAUUGUGGUGUGGUCUAUGUGUGGUGACUCAUGAGUCUGCAUCAGGGAACGUGUCUUUACAACACUGCAGGUGUUUGUUUCUGUUAGUUCACCACUUGUAGAGUUCAGCUCAGUGAUCAUCCCACACAGACACAAGCUGCUGGAAGAGAACACCACCUGUUUCAUGUUCAUGGUGUUGUUUCACUGCAGGAUGGCAGAUUUUACAAUCCACCGGCCUUCAGUAGUGAAAGCUGAGAGGAGGAACGCUUCUGUAACAAUUAGCCUGUGAAUACAAAACGCUGCAGGCGUGUGUCUGCCAUUAUUUACACAUGUUAUAUUGUGUCUGGGAUCACUAGUGACAGGGUUAACUUAAGGCGAGACAGCAAGGGUGAAUCUUGACACCAUAACUCUGAAACGAUCACAGAUAAAGACUUGAAGUUGAAGUUAUGCCCAAAAAACAACAAAAGUAGUUGUCAGCAGUGUUCACCUGCUGAAGCUAACAGGUGUGUCUGUACGCAGUGUAUAUGUGACACACAAUAGACUUGACAUUUCGAUUUCCAGCAGGAGAUUGAGAGACUUUACUGCUCCUUCUCCUUAUUGUCUUGGUGCAUAAUUCCUCUGGAAAACAUGUUUUUUGUGUCUUCUUAUUGCAUCACUGUCAAUGGAAUGCUGCACUGCAACAUCUAUGAAUGAAUAAAUAUUACUGUCACAUUUCCUGCUGGCCGGGAAACACCUUUUAUCAGCUGAAUGAAUCAGACCGAGGAAAUACCCAGUUCAAUAAAACAAUAAAAAAAUCGAUUGAAAUAAAAAAGA